rnacentral:lncRNA from 10 species
UUCUGCAGGUAGAGGCUGCCAUCAGCUGCCAUGGAGACCCGGUAGUGGCAGACCUUGGCCUGGGCCCGGACUAGGAAGGGUUCAGAGAUGGAGACCCCUGCCUUGGCUGCCAGCUGCCCCGACCCUCCCACCCCAGAGGAUGCUGGCCACAACCCACUAAGGGGUCUGGCUCAGACCUAGCUGGGGACCCUGAGAUGGUCAGAGCUGUGUGGAGGAGGGAGUGUGGGCAGCCACAGGCUGGGGCGGGGCAGCGAGAGCGGCCCAGGUUGGAGCUUUUCUGCUGACGGUGUGCACAGAGUAGGCACUUAAUAAAUACUUGUAGAAUGAA